rnacentral:rRNA from 1 species
UACAGAGGUGGCAAGCGUUGUUCGGAAUUACUGGGCGUAAAGGGCGCGUAGGUGGCUUGGUCAGUCCCGUGUGAAAUCCCUCGGCUCAACUGAGGAACUGCACGGGAAACUGCCUGGCUUGAGUUCGGGAGAGGGAAGCGGAAUUCCGGGUGUAGCGGCGAAAUGCGUAGAUAUCCGGAGGAACACCGGUGGCGAAGGCGGCUUCCUGGACCGACACUGACGCUGAGGCGCGAAAGCUAGGGGAGCAAACGGG